CGGAAGGAGGAGAAGCAAACACUAUACCAUAACUAAAACAAUCAUUAUUUGCACCAGUAUAUUCAAGUAUGGAUUUAGUCAUGGCACUAUGAACUCAUGGUAAGGCAGAACUAUGAGGAUUUUCAUUUUUUUCUUGGCUUAACAUGUGAACUUUAUUUAUGUAUGUGUGUGUAUUAUCUUUAAUCCAAAAAAAAAAAAUGUUCAGAAUACAUACACUUGUUUUCAACAUUUUCUACGUUAGAAGGAAAAAAAUUUAAUUUUUGUAGCGAAAUAAAUCUGUAGAGAUAUGUAGAACAAGAUUUUAAAAAGAAAGUAUGAACUUAUAUUUAGAUUUCGCUUUUUUAAAUUAUUUAUUCAAAAUCUGUUGCAGGCCGUUCACAUGCGGCGCAAAAAGGCAACAAAUAUAUGGGGCCGUGUUUUUUGGCAAAACCUGUCCACAACCACCGCAGAAAUUAUCCCAAUUCUGUUGGUAGUGCAUCCCAUAAUUGGUCCUCAAAUGGAUUUGCUCAGUUUUCCUGGGUUUUUAGUGAGGAUGGUGAGGAUGCUUCGAGAUUUCAAUUUGCUUGUAAUUUCUGCGGGGUGUGUAGUCCGGGUGGCGAUGGGAUCAAAAUGCCGGAAAUGGUUUGUUAGGGUUCGCUACGUACGAAAUUAGGCUCGAACAGGGUUGAGUAAAAGAGUAUUAUAAAGGUAGUAAAUGACAGGGUGACUCAGGCUAAGAAGUGACUAGGCAGCCCUAUGAUUGCUGAGUAGGUGGGAACCUACUAUAAAUAUGAUAAAAAUUUUGUUUAGACACAAUUUGAAUGAAUGAUUAUGAAAAAAAAAAGCGGCACGUUGAAAUAAAAAUUUAAGAAAUAUCAGAAGAAUAGAAAAACAAAAGAUUUCGAGAGAAAUAAUUAAAAUGUUUUUGCUGAUGUCUCGCUGCCGUAUAAGGUUAAAGGAAAUUGGCGUUGUUUGGGGUAAUUGGCGAGUUGGUAACGUAAGUGAAAAGGGUUGGGCGAAUAGUUAGACAGCCGUUGAUUUUUAAAUGAGAGACUCAGGGGUGAGGUGAAAUGAGAAUUCACAAUAAAAAAAAAAAAAUGGCUAUUGACAGUUGAAAAGAAAAAGGAAUGAAAAUUGAAAAUGGUUCAGGAAAAUGGUGUUUCGUGGAAAAUGAGCGUCUGGCGGGAUUCACUGAGAAGAGGGGUAUAAAAGGCUGCGAGCAUAAGAAAAGCCAAAGUUAAGAAUAAGACGUUACCGGUGAAACUUAGCUAGAGAGCAGUGAAGAAGUGGAAAAAUUUAAUUUGUGUGUUGCGAUUUUUUUUUAUUGUGAAUAUUCCGGUGGUGUAUCAAGCCUUUUUUGGAAGCACCGAAAAUUGUCCGGUUUUGGUCAGCACAACGGCGGGAAAUUGCCUUUUCUUUUUGGUAACGCAAGGUAGUGGCAAGUUGUCCACAGGAAAAAAAAGCCAAAAAAGUUACAUUGAGGGUGUGGAGAUUUGAAUUGUAAACUGGC